GAUGAACGCUGGCGGCGUGCCUAAUACAUGCAAGUCGAGCGAACAGAUGAGGCGCUUGCUCCUCUGACGUUAGCGGCGGACGGGUGAGUAACACGUGGAUAACCUACAUAUAAGACUGGGAUAACUUCGGGAAACCGGAGCUAAUACCGGAUAAUAUAUUGAACCGCAUGGUUCAAUAGUGAAAGACGGUUUUGCUGUCACUUAUAGAUGGAUCCGCGCCGCAUUAGCUAGUUGGUAAGGUAACGGCUUACCAAGGCAACGAUGCGUAGCCGACGUGAGAGGGUGAUAGGCCACACGGGAACUGGGACACGGUCCAGACUCCUGCGAGAGGCAGCAGUAGGGAAUCUUCCGCAAUGGGCGAAAGCCUGACGGAGCAACGCCGCGUGAGUGAUGAAGGUCUUCGGAUCGUAAAACUCUGUUAUUAGGGAAGAACAAAUGUGUAAGUAACUAUGGACGUCUUGACGGUACCUGAUCAGAAAGCCACGGCUAACUACGUG
rnacentral:rRNA from 1 species